ACGCCGAUGGUGAAACGGUUAUCAUGCUUGCCUUCCAUGAUGUGUGAGCAAGCGGUAGGGGUUCGACUCCCCUUCGGCGUA
rnacentral:tRNA from 2 species